AUUGAACGCUGGCGGCAGGCCUAACACAUGCAAGUCGAACGGUAACAGGAAGAAGCUUGCUUCUUUGCUGACGAGUGGCAGACGGGUGAGUAAUGUCUGGGAAACUGCCUGAUGGAGGGGGAUAACUACUGGAAACGGUAGCUAAUACCGCAUAACGUCGCAAGACCAAAGAGGGGGACCUUCGGGCCUCUUGCCAUCGGAUGUGCCCAGAUGGGAUUAGCUAGUAGGUGGGGUAACGGCUCACCUAGGCGACGAUCCCUAGCUGGUCUGAGAGGAUGACCAGCCACACUGGAACUGAGACACGGUCCAGACUCCUACGGGAGGCAGCAGUGGGGAAUAUUGCACAAUGGGCGCAAGCCUGAUGCAGCCAUGCCGCGUGUAUGAAGAAGGCCUUCGGGUUGUAAAGUACUUUCAGCGGGGAGGAAGGGAGUAAAGUUAAUACCUUGGCUCAUUGACGUUACCCGCAGAAGAAGCACCGGCUAACUCCGUG
rnacentral:rRNA from 1 species